GCCUUCGUGGUGUAAUGGUCAGCACACUGAGCCGGUAAUUCAGAGGUCCCUGGUUCGAUUCCCGACGAAGGCA
rnacentral:tRNA from 1 species